rnacentral:tRNA from 1 species
GGCGACCUUGACCAGCUCGGCCGUGGCGAGGUCGGUGACGACGGCCGGCGUGCCCUGGGCGAGCACCGGCGCGUACGCCGCGCGCAGCCGCUGC